rnacentral:lncRNA from 1 species
GGGGUCAUCAGUAAGGCACUCAAUCACCUUAAUAUCCUGUGACACCCCUUAUAAGGCUGCUGUUAUGUUCUGGUGGUUGUCAGGAAUAAAUGUACAACAUUGCGUCUCUACAAGGGCACAGCUGCCACAUUGGGCAGCUCUGACCAUGUCUAAGGCCAUCCGGUUUUGCAGAACCAACUUCCUGAUCUGAUUGACUUCAUCAGUUAACAAAAAGGAGAGCAACUCGGGUGUAAUUCAGGGCCCAAACUGUGUGCUCUGCAAGGGCUGUAACUUGCAUUUCUACAGUAGCGACACCUGCUCUAGGGAUAGUUAUCGCUUAGGGGUAGAGUCACUAGGGGGCUUGCUGAACUCGUAAAAACCAGGAACAUAGCACCUUCCAGUUAGGUGGAUGACUAGGCAAUGUGGGAAACACAGUGGCAGGCACAGAAAGCCACCCCCAGGUACAACGUCCAGUCCAAUUGGCUGGUAGAUAUGGCCAUCCUGUGUCCCCACAGACCCAUAAACUCCCUGGGGGCAUAAAGUCCAUGAAGGUCCAGCCUUGGUAAGGCAACUUAUUCCACCACACCCUUGGUUUCGCGGCAUGUGUUAUGUUUGCACAAACCUCAGCAAUAAUCCCUCAGUGACUUUACCCCAGUGCUCCCCUAUACAUCAUGGUACCUGCAAUGGGGGCACCACAUGUUUUCCCGUUAGCCAGCCCCAUCCAUCAUGGACACUAUAAGUCAGCCAGUGGCAGGCUUGCCAUGGGUUUUGGGACGUCCCCCUAUCCAAAGCCCACCAUUGCAUUGUCUAUUGAACACCAAGUCUCUAGCCAUGUCCAGUUCUGCACAGAAGCUGGAUGCACGUUCCAGGGCAAGCUGCCUGCAGCUGCUGCUGAAAGGGUGGUGCAGAUACAACAGUUGAAGACAUUGGUCACCUCAGUGUAGGUGUGGGCCCAGAACAUGAUGCUGUUGGAGCAUGCCACCUAUGGCUGGAAUGACAAAGCAAGCACAGGUACUAACAGGGGUAAAUCAUGUCCCUCAGGCAAAAUACAGGCCAACUUUUCACCUCUCGAUAACAGUGCAGCCACCAAGGGCAUUUGCCCUGGGUGAUGAUACCACACCUUAUCAGCUCCCUGUGGUCCUUUUGGGUGCUGUACCCAUGCCAAACACACAGGGGAGCUUAUGCUAAGCCACACAGACAGUACACAUGCCCUCUGGAGGAGAGUCUCUUCCCUGGCCGUUCCCCUAUGCAUGGUUAAUUGUGGAGGCCACACAUUAAAUACCCAAGGAGUAACAUGUAAGUUAUACUGCAGCCCCUCCCCCCAGGGGGCUAUGAUAGCCAACCAUCUGCAAUGAGGUGCUUGGAGGGUCCAUGGCUAACACCAGGUUUUUCUGUUCCCCUGCCUUUAGGGGUACUGGGGCAGGCAAUAACAGAUUACUGUUCAACCCUGUACCUGGUUGGAGAAGGUUGUUCUUCCUCUCAUAGAUCUGGCCACAUGGCCUGGCCCUACAUGGGUCGAUGACUAACUAGCUAAUUCUGUAACUUCUAGGUAAUUAACCACAAAGUUAAGCCUUGAUAAAUUGCCUAGCUACUAGUACAGAUUACCACAGGUGUCAUCUCCUUGGUGAUCACAGUCCAUAUUGCCUUGAGUUCAACUUAUUAGCUACUUUAUUUACACCUGGUUUUAAACCAUAUUGUGUCAGUACUAGGCUGGACUGUAGCAGCAAUCCAGGCAGCAGCAGUACUCUGGCUAUACCUACCUGUAUACUAUGCCUCAUUAGGAAUGGGAGGAUGCCCUUCCUUAUGGUAAAGGCUCAGGGUCUAGAGGUGCCUCAGACCCCAUGACUUUAUCUUGCAUUAGGACUAUAGGCUUCAAGACCUAUUGUAAUUUUACUCCUAAGAGACCAGUACUCAGUGUACUCUGCUGCUCUAAGUAGGUGCCCCACUUCGCUAAAGUGGAUGUCUGUGCCUUCCCUAUCCAGGGGGUUGUUUCCCAUGAAUGCCCAAUCUCACAAUUACUAACUGCUUCUCUAUCAAGGAAUACUGGGGCUCAGCUCCCUUCCACAGCUGGGAACAAAAGCCUAUUGGCAUACUCAGGUGCUCUAUGCACUGCUAUAGGCCCUAACUGAAACUCUGUUGUCACAGGCACAUCUAGUUUAAAUGGGCACCUCUGGUCCACUACCCGUAUGGCUUGUGCCUGCUAAAUAGCCCGCUAGGCUACCAGAAAGACUGUCUCAGGAGCAUCAUCCCAAUCCCAGGCAAGAAGAACAUUGCCACUUCUAAAUCUGCAGGAGAAUCAGAGGUUAACAUGACAUCAUUAAUAAAAUAAUGACACGUGGUGGGGCUAUGAAUAUAGCCCUGCAGCAACACUGUGAAAGUCCAUUGUCACCCUCCCAUGAAAGCAAACUGUUCCUGCCUCUCUGGAACAAUGUCGACUGAGAGGAAUGCAUUGGUCAAUUCCACCACAUAGUGGCAUUGUCUCAGUUCUGUUGUCAAGAAGUUCAUCAAAUCCAUGAUAGAAGGUACAGAUACAUGCAGAAGGAGUAUUACUUUAUUCAGUUUCCGAUAAUCCACUGUUAUCUGCCAAAUCCCAUCAGGCUUUCUGACUGGCCAUAAUGGAAAAUGGUAGGGGCUAUGGAUGCCACACACUAUUUGCACCUCCUCUAACUUCUUAAUAGUCUCAGUUACCUCUGUAUUCCCCCCUGGCAAACGGUACUGAUGAGUGGAAGUAACCUGUCAGGGUUGUGGCAGAACUUGGGGCUGGUGAUGUGUAUGUUCACCCAGUACUGGCUUUACUGCAUGGACUCAGAAUCUGGAUUCUCUGGCCGUGGUGUGCAAGCCCAGACCAUGCAAAAUGUCCACCCCCAGAAUAUAUUCAGGUAUAGGAGAAACAUACACAGUGUACAGGUGGGGAGCCAAGCGGCCAAUGCCAAGAUGCAGAGACACAGGCUUCACCUUCACCGACUGGCUCCCAUAACCGUCCAUAAAUGCAGCUUUGCCUAGAAAUUUAUCUGGGUUCCCAUAAACUAGACUGCAGUCUGCACCAGUAUCUAUCAGUGCUAGGACCCGCGGUACAUUAGUGGGGGACCAGUGGAUUGCCAGCUCCACAUAUAGCCUCUGGUUGUCUAGUUCCCCCUGCCAAGCUGGCGACCUCGGCCAGUUCCCUAAUCAAACAAGAAAGGCUCUGUAUCUCUGCCUGUCUGCAAAUAGUCCUUGAGUUGCAGCGUCUGGGAGGGAUUAGGUUGAACAACAUUGUUUUGCCCCCCACACCUUAGGCAUUUUCUGGAAUUGCUGCUCCCGGGACAAUUGCCUUCACAGAGUCAACAACAUUCCAUUGGGUUGCCCGUCAAUUUUCUCCCGAGCAACCCCAGCUGCAAGUAAAUCAAUCCACAUCUGCAUGCAGGUCACCUCCUGGAGCCCCUUUUUAUCUGGUGGGGUGGUUAACUGCGGAUGAGGCAUUUUCUCCCUCCUUACGGUGCGGAUUCUCCGGUCCUGCGAAUGGCCUUCUGCCUCCCUGAGGGCUGCCAGAGCAGUAGUCACUUCAUGUAUGCGGCACCCCACAUACUGGGUGAGAACAGCGGCUAGAAAGCCAUAAGGGUUCGGGGUGCUGAACUCAGCACAAGAUCCCUCAUGUGGGAGGUAAAGCGUUCAUCAUCUGGCCCCAUGGUAAUCAGACCAAACAUAGCCUGCCGCAUACCUAUCUCCAAGAGUAUCUGCACCAAAUUAGUAUGUGAUUGCCAUUUACUCACAGUUUGUAGUAUCUCUCUGGCAUCAUUGAAAACAGUCCAUAUGACUGUCAUUAGCCACUUGAUUAAUGUGUGGCCACCUUGCUCUUGUGCCAACCGUUGGCACAGCUGCAGCUGCUGACGAAGGGAGGGGUGAGUUGUGAUAGAAGUCAGCUUCUCCAUCUCAGAGGCGGAACAAAAAAUGCUAUCAGCUCCCUCAGACGCUGCCGGCACUAUUUACCUAAUUCCCACAACUCACUGGGGUUAUAAGCAUAAUAAGAGGCGUGUUCCACCACUGUGGACGGGGUCCCUGGGCUUUCCCCUAGGGUCCCAUCAGCUGCUUAUGUUCUACCUUCUGACGGAUCACAGGAGGAGCCUGCAGCGGAGGAGCCUCCUCCUCCUCAGCAUCAGACCUAAAGGGAGUGUCCUGCCUGAAGGACCGGCUCAAGGUCGCACUAACAGCUCUUGCUAACUCCUGUUCCAGGCUGUUUAUCUGGGCCUCCAAGUACCCUGCUUGCGCCUGGAGGUCUCUCACCCCCAGGUCCUGCUCAAAGCUGUGCACUUGGGCCCCCAGGCAUGCGGCUUGCUCCGGAAGGUCCCUUACCUGUGGCACUGAGCAUGUACUUCCUGCAGUGCAGUUAGAAAUGCCCAUCCGACUCUGCUUGCAAAGACAUCUGCAAUGGCAGUUCACAUGGCUCAGAUAGCUCACUUCUGCAGAGAGCUGAAUUUAAGUGGGACAGGGUAGCAAGAAUAAUUACUUUGACAAUCAUUUUGCCACCUGAUGACUGUGCUGCCUGUCCUGAGCUGAGUGCAGAGAGGGAGACACCCUUACAAAUGGAGAUUUGCUGGAUAGAAAUGUGGCCAAAGAGUUCAAUAAAAGGUUCCUUUAUUUAUAGGCACAGCUGCUUAAAGACUGUUACCGGAAAGGAAUCCUGAUCCAGACGCCAAGAGAGGGUUCUUGGACUCAUGCAAGAAAGACUUCAGAAUACGAGUUUUGAAUUUUUGAAUUGCUGUUAAAACUUUCAUCAUGAACACUGAAGUGAGUGAAAAGAGACUUUUGCAGUCAUUUUUUUGCUGGCUGCAGAUGACAGUGACACCCUGGGAGUUGAGAAAUGCUUGUAAGAUGGAAGGAGGCUGUGUCCCUGAAUGAUCACCUGGAAGAGAGCCACCUUAGCCAAUGAAACUCCUGCUAUGAAUGUUUGCUGAGCAAGAAAUAUACUUACUGCUUUAUAUGCCUUUGAAGCUAUAGGUUCAUAUUGUUACCACAAUUUAAAGUGCUAUAAUAAAAAGAGUUCAGGAAGCAGGCACAUGGAAGCAAUAAGAGCAACAAACAUUUACACAGGACAGAGAUCAUGGAAGUUGGGCCCGACUGGAUGAGAUUUGGGGGUCUUUGGAAGUGGAGAAUGUGUUUGCCCUGGGGAAGAGAGGUGAUGUCUAGGAGACCUCUUCACUCAGGGCAAGCUCUAUGACCUGCUUUGACUCCAGAAUGUGGUAGAAGUGGCAUCACAUAAAUUGCAGAGCCUAGGCUUCAAGAGACCUUGCAACUUGCCUCUCACUGACUUGAAGUGCUCCCAUCAGAGCAUCUUGUAAGGAGCAGGUGGAGCAUGUGGACAAGCCAUCCCCACCAGCCCCUGAGACAUGUGAGAGAGGCCAGAACAGGCCAUCCGGACCCCACUGUGCUGGUGGAUGAGACAGCAGAAGGAAUAUCAACCUACCAACAGAAUCCUGAGAAAUGCUCACUCUUACUUCAAGCUGCUGCAUUUUGAUGUUAUGAAACCAUAAAUAACUUAUGAAGUCAUCUUUGCUGACUUAAAGUUUUCCAUAACUUUAUUAUAACAUAUCAAAAUUAUGAAAAAUGUGAAAAGUAGAAAACUGAUGAAUUUUGCUUCUUCAUAUGGUCUUUAAGAAUCUCAAAGGCACUGAAGUUUUUUAUCUUUUCUGUCUUAGAAUAAAAAACCUUGAAUGAAAAUCUGCUUCUUGGAAAAGCAGCAAGGUUUAUGCAGAGGCAAUCUGGUAUUUGUGUGCACUGGCAGCUGAUCAUACCCAGCAUGCACGCACUCUCAGGGCAGAGUCUGAUGCCCCACAUAAUGGGGCAUGGUAAGGACUCCCAUGUCCUUGAGAUAAAAUGAUAAGGAAAAUACACACUGCUAUUAGAAUAACAGGCCCAGCUUCUGCACAUUUUAAUUCCCAAAGUUUUCAUGAAAGACAAUGAUUUUUUGGUACCAUGUUUAACUCUACAAGAAUCAGUAGUGAAAACUAAAAAUGAUACUUUGUGAAAGUUCAUUAAUUUUGUUUUCAGCCAGUGGUGGCCUUGGUCAGAUAGAAUCAAAUCUAUGAUACUUUUUAUCAGAAAUGCUUAUACUGUGUACAAACCCAAAGUGAUGGCUUUCAAAGAUUGAAUUUGAUUAUUUUCUGUAUGGUGCAGAUGAAAAAUUACUACACAGGAGAAGGUGGGUUGGAGGUGCUCACGAGUAACCAGGAAACAGUCUGAAGUUUUUCUGAUACUUCUCCUUGGUCCAACCAAAUGUGAGAUAUAAACACAAACUUGGGAUUCCGUUCUUAUGUUUUGGUUGUUUCAGUCUUUACAGAUGUAUCGAAAGGCUGUCCAAAAAUGUCUGACUUCUGUAGUGUGCCUUCGUAGCACUAGAGGGUUCUGCAGCUGUGAAACUGAAGGCAUUGGCAAGAAGCCCUCCAUCUUCAAACCACUUUCUGCUAAGGUGUGGCUCUAUAAAACCACUAUGAGCUGGGCUUCACUGAGACUGAGUUGUUUCAGUAGGAUCUUCCGGAAAAACAUGUUCCCUCCUUUACCUGGGUUGUCAUUCUGAGAACAAUCACACCUCCAAUUUUGGCUUACUAAGCAAUAGCGUUUUAAUGAUUUUAAGCCAGGAUUUGCUCCUCCUUUCCUCAGUAUGAGAGCUUAACCACUGGAGGAACCAAGAAUUCAUGCUGGUUGGGUUCUGAUUCCACUUUAACUUACUGUAUAGCCUCAUCCCUUGUUUUUCUGGAGAUUCUCUUUUUCUGCUUCACUGAUUUAUAUUUACAUUAAAAUCAAAUGAGGCCAUGUUUCUGAAAUCACAUUGUCCCUACAUGGUCAUUACAAUGAGUCUGUAAUGUGACUGAAAGACAGCCAUGGAUACAGGUAGAGGAUAUCAGGCAAUUGAAUGCUCAUCAAGCAUUCAAUUCAGGGCAAAUGGCAUAAGGUAUGCAGUUGGCCUCUUCUGAUAUCUGUGUCUUAAUCCUUUCUUUAGCCUCUGUUUUCUGGACCAAGGCUAAGAUAUUUUCUGGGCACAGUGGCUCAUGCCUAUAAUCCCAGCACUCUGGGAGGCCAAGGUGGGAGGAUUUCUUCAGCCC